GCGUUGGUGUGGCUGUGGUGUAGGGCAGCAGCUGCAGCUCUGAUUCAACCCCUAGCCUGGGAGCUUCCAUGUGCCACAGGAAUAGCCUUAAAAAGAAAAAAAAAAAAAAAAGAGUUGUUAUCUUCAGAAAUACACUCUGAGUUGAGGGGUUAUUGCAAGAUGACUCUUAAAUGUGCAGUCAGAAUUUGGAAUUUGGUGGCAUGUCAGCUGACUGUCCCACUCCUUGGCGCAGUCCACAAGUGUCUGUCUUCCUUACCAGGGCUGAGUACCAGAUGUCUCAGUCAGAAUCCCGAAGAAGUUGCAGUUCCCACAAGUAACCGCAUGAAGGCAGCUCUGAGGAAUUAAUGGCCAGCUUUGGCAGAGGAGACAUGAAGGAAUAGAAGCUGGCUGGCUGGUUGCUGAGGUGGCUAGUGCCAGGUCUGUUCCUCAUCAAGAUGCACUUGAGUUUCCCCAGGAACAAGUCGGAAAGGCAGGAAAAACACAGACUAGCUCUUGGGAGUCCCUGAAGGGAGCUGAUGGCAUGGUCUAAGAGGCAUGAUUUUGGGGUGGGUUGAUUGCCUGGAUAGCUGGUCAUAAUUGAGGCUGGUUACUGUACUAGAGAGCAAACCUUUGGGGUGACAGUACUUAAACUGUUAGUUGAUAGUCAGUGGAGCAGUAGGGAGGAGAAUGGGCUAGGCUGUGAAUUAGGAGGAAAUUCAGGGUACUGUAUGACACGCAAGAAUUUAAGCAUUUUAACUCUGUGUGGCCAGAAUGUAUGCUGACUGAUUCUUUUAGCCCUUCGAAGUCAGACUCAUAGACUCGCAUAGCCAUGGCAGUUUUUACAAACUUAGGGAAAUUAUGCGGUUUCUGCAGUUUUCCC
rnacentral:lncRNA from 1 species